rnacentral:lncRNA from 1 species
UCAGUUAAGAGAAAUUUACUCCAUGUGUAUUCCCACCUCUAUCAGAGAAAUGUCCUUGAGAUUAAGAGGGUUGACUAAGACAUGUUCUGUUAUCCAACUCCCCCUGGAAAGCAAGGACAUGAUGUGCAUAGAUGCCUGAUUAGAAAAGAUUAGAGGGCUGAGGCCUAUGGUGGUAGUCAGGCAGUUCCACUUUCAUGUGGGAAAAGAUAACUCAAAAUAGGGUAGGAAGGGAAGCUUGGGGGCGUGCCUAAGAGCAGGGGCAAUGGAGGAGGCUAGAUCAAUGAUGGUGUGCUGCAGGGGGAGAAGAUAAAGAGGAAGAAAGGAGGUUGCUAGGUGGAUGGGACAGGCGGAGCAGAAGUUGUGCUAAUAGAUCUGAGGCGGUUCUGUACUGGCACUUGACUAAAGCCGCAAGGGAUCUUGACAGCCUGCUUCAACCAAGUCCUCUGCUUCAGGAAUGCCCUGUGGAAGACAGGGAACCUACACAUAAACAUACAAACCUCCCAGUCAAGGGCAGCAUUAAAAUGGGAUUGAGUGUGAUGUACUGGUAUGGCAGGAAGACAGUAAAAGAUGAUGGGAGGGAGCUAGCAGACAUCCUAUGGAAGAGAGGGGACUGGCAUAGACUGUUUGGAGACAAGCGCUCCAAAGAGAGCAACGAUGAUAAUGAUGAGGACAACAAUGAGGACGAUGAACAUGAUGAUGAAUGAAAGGAUGGGCAAACAGGCAGAGAAGCUGGGAAGGGAGGGGAGAGGAUGCUUUGCAUAAUUGAGACAGUUAAAGAUGACAGUGACAGGUGCACGGGCACACAGAACACAGGUGCGCAGUGCCUUUUUUGUAACUGGAAUAAGAAUGGUGUAACUGGGACAUGUUUUGGACUGUCAAGUGAACCACAGCAGUCAGGAGAGGUUGGCAGGGGUGUGUGCGCAAAAAGCCACAAACCAAACAAAAGCAAAACAACCCAGGCCAGCAGCCAGAGACAAGCUGGGACUAGGUAGUGAAGGAAGAAAUGGGUGCAAGAGGUUGGGGGACAAAGUGGAUGCGGGUCGGGCCUCACAGAGGAGAGUUUCAGAGGGGAAGGGCAAAAGGGGGCCCCUUCCAGUCCUUCUGGGAGGAGGCUCCUAACAUCUGCUGCCUCCUCCCUGGCUGCCACCCUGGCGCUGGGGAUUUCUACCCCUUCCCCUCCCCACAGCGGCUCCGUACGGCGAGUGAGGCGCUGCAAAGCUAGCAGGGCGGCGGCUGCCCGCUGCCCCCGGGGGAUAAAGGUUGCGCCACGCGCUCUCCCUGGCAGCCCGCGCCGCUUCCUCUCGGGGCCCAGCCAGCCGCGGGCUCUUCGCCGAGCCGGGCCAGAGCGUGGGGCUCCGGCAGCAGCGCCGCUUCCCUCCCUCCCUCCUCGUGCGUUGGCAUCCGCGGCCCUUCCGCAGGGCGCCGCCAUGGCCGGGCGGCGCAGGGGGUUUCUGCAGGAGGCGUCUCACCAGAUCGCGGCGGGCGGCUCGGCGGAUGCAGACUAUACUAUUUAAAAAUCCGGAUUCUUUGAAGUGCACUCAAGGUAUCUGUCUAUGUGACUCUACCCAUCAUAUCACACAUGAUUUAAGUGGCACUAUUUUUAAUAUUACUUCUUUAACAGUAAUUCAUAAUAAAAUGUAUUUUGGUAUCGAUAUUCUACCA